rnacentral:rRNA from 1 species
UUUGACCUCAAAUCAGGUAGGAGUAC